rnacentral:rRNA from 1 species
UAGGGAAUCUUCCGCAAUGGACGCAAGUCUGACGGAGCAACGCCGCGUGAGUGAAGAAGGAUUUCGGUUCGUAAAACUCUGUUGUUAGAGAAGAACAGCGCAUAGAGUAACUGUUAUGCGUGUGACGGUAUCUAACCAGAAAGCCACGGCUAACUACGUGCCAGCAGCCGCGGUAAUACGUAGGUGGCAAGCGUUGUCCGGAUUUAUUGGGCGUAAAGCGAGCGCAGGCGGUCAAUUAAGUCUGAUGUGAAAGCCCCCGGCUCAACCGGGGAGGGUCAUUGGAAACUGGUUGACUUGAGUGCAGAAGAGGAGAGUGGAAUUCCAUGUGUAGCGGUGAAAUGCGUAGAAAUAUGGAGGAACACCAGUGGCGAAGGCGACUCUCUGGUCUGUAACUGACGCUGAGGCUCGAAAGCGUGGGUAGCAAACAGG